UACGAGGGGGGCAACUGUUGUUCGGAAUCACUGGGCGUAAAGGGCGCGUAGGCGGUGUGUCAAGUCAGGCGUGAAAGCCCCGGGCUCAACCUGGGAACCGCGCUUGAUACUGGACGGCUCGAGUUCGGGAGAGGGAAGUGGAAUUCCAGGUGUAGCGGUGAAAUGCGUAGAUAUCUGGAGGAACACCGGUGGCGAAGGCGGCUUCCUGGGCCGACACUGACGCUGAGGCGCGAAAGCCAGGGGAGCAAACGGG
rnacentral:rRNA from 1 species